AGAGUUUGAUCAUGGCUCAGGACGAACGCUGGCGGCGUGCCUAAUACAUGCAAGUCGAGCGGAUUUCAAGAAGCUUGCUUCUUGAUUUCAGCGGCGGACGGGUGAGUAACACGUGGGCAACCUGCCUAUAAGACUGGGAUAACUUCGGGAAACCGGAGCUAAUACCGGAUAAUCCUUUUCCUCUCAUGAGGGAAAGCUGAAAGACGGCGUAAGCUGUCACUUAUAGAUGGGCCCGCGGCGCAUUAGCUAGUUGGUGAGGUAACGGCUCACCAAGGCGACGAUGCGUAGCCGACCUGAGAGGGUGAUCGGCCACACUGGGACUGAGACACGGCCCAGACUCCUACGGGAGGCAGCAGUAGGGAAUCUUCCGCAAUGGACGAAAGUCUGACGGAGCAACGCCGCGUGAGCGAAGAAGGCCUUCGGGUCGUAAAGCUCUGUUGUUAGGGAAGAACAAGUGUCGGAGUAACUGCCGGCACCUUGACGGUACCUAACCAGAAAGCCACGGCUAACUACGUGCCAGCAGCCGCGGUAAUACGUAGGUGGCAAGCGUUGUCGGGAAUUAUUGGGCGUAAAGCGCGCGCAGGCGGUCUUUUAAGUCUGAUGUGAAAGCCCCCGGCUCAACCGGGGGAGGGUCAUUGGAAACUGGAGGACUUGAGUGCAGAAGAGAACAGCCGAAUUCCACGUGUAGCGGUGAAAUGCAUAGAGAUGUGGAGGAACACCAGGGGAGAAGGCGGCUAUUUGAGACUGAACUUGCGCUCAUGCACGCAAACUUGAGGCACAACCCGAGCUGCAUCGCCUGU
rnacentral:rRNA from 1 species